CUGACACAGGCUAGAAGCCUGUUCAUUGAACAUUCCCCACCCAGAGCAUCCACGGCUCACAAUCGCCCACCUCUUUUCAUUUUUAAUUCUCACAAAAAUGGACGUUUUACUGCUCCUCCUGGAUGCCACUUAAAAACCUGGAUUUGCCUUUUGCCCGCUGCCAGGAUAAAGAACAGCAUCUGAGCUUCUCCUGUGGAAAAGCUCCUGACCAGGAAAGCAGUCAGAGGGCGCCCUCUGCCGGUGGACCUGUGACCCGCUCUA
rnacentral:lncRNA from 1 species